AGAUUGAACGCUGGCGGCAGGCCUAACACAUGCAAGUCGAGCGGUAGAGAGGUGCUUGCACCUCUUGAGAGCGGCGGACGGGUGAGUAAUGCCUAGGAAUCUGCCUAGUGGUGGGGGAUAACGUUCGGAAACGGACGCCAAUACCGCAUACGUCC
rnacentral:rRNA from 1 species